AAUGCAGGAGUUCUAUGUCUGCCCCGGGUAUCACCGGGGCAGGUCCCUCAACCCUAAAUGUGGAGGUGGGGCUGACUUCUUUUGCAAAAAUUGGGGAUGCGAGAUGUCAUGGGAGGCAUCCUGGAAGCCCUCCUCGAGCUGGGACUAUAUUAAGGUAGUAGCAAACUAUACCUUGGAACCCUACGUUCCUGGUGGGGUAUCUGUGCCGGAAUGUGCCUAUAACUGGUGCCACCCACUCUGUGUCACUUUCACUGAGCCGGGAAAGAUGGCCAAAGAAUGGGUGAAAGGAUAUACUUGGGGCCUUAGGUUUUAUAAAGACGGUUAUGAUGUGGGAUUACUGCUCACCGUCAAGUUACAAAUAGAAGCUCCUUGUACCCCAGAUGUAUAAAAAGUGUGUACUUUAGCUAUGGGAGGUCACCACUGUCUUAUGGGCAGGACGGCCCCAGCUUACUGGAUCAUUAAACCUCUUGCUUGAUUGCAAAAAAAAAAAAAAAAA
rnacentral:lncRNA from 1 species